rnacentral:pre_miRNA from 1 species
AAUUUCAGCUGAAAAAGUCAUGAACAUAAAAGUUGUAGAGCUCAUCAAGACAUAUAACUUUUAUUUUGGUCAUUUCUUCAUCCGAUAAAGUGAUAGUAAUAUUAUUUACAAAGUUUACAUAUCUCUCUUAUAUAGUUUAUAGAACAAAAUGAGAUAGAUGUAAAUUUUUGUGAACAAUGUUACUAUCACUUUGUCGGAUAAAGAAAUAACCAAAAUAAAGGUUAUAGAUCUUGAUGAGUUAUACAACUUUGUUGUUGAUGACUUUUUCAGUUGAAAUC